rnacentral:miRNA from 1 species
ACAUGGAUUCAGCUAUCUGUGGA